AUGGCACGUGCUGGAGGAAUCACAAACGCAGUUAACGUUGGAAUUGCAGUUCAAGCAGAUUGGGAAAAUCGUGAAUUCAUUUCUCACAUUUCCCUUAACGUUCGCCGUCUCUUCGACUUCCUUGUCCAAUUCGAGGCUACUACAAAGAGCAAGUUAGCAUCGUUGAAUGAGAAGCUUGAUGUAUUGGAGCGUCGUUUGGAGUUACUUGAAGUUCAAGUUGGAAAUGCUUCGGCAAACCCUUCUCUUUUUGCAACUUGA